rnacentral:lncRNA from 1 species
GUAAAAAAUCACCUGUGGAUGCAGAUUCUUCACAAAAUCUGCUGCUGGAGUGCAGCUCCACAAUCACAGCUCAUGGCAGCCUCAAUCUCCCAGGCUCAAGCGAUCCUACCACCUCGGCCUCCCAAGUAGCUGGGACUACAGGCACGCACCACCACACCUGGCUAAUAUCUCCUCUUGCCUUUUUAAUACCCCACCAAAGGUCUGUUUCCUAUACCAGCACACUCAGUCAUCAGGCACCAACUUUGCAGACUGCUGAGUGAGUCUUUGAUUUGCAGAUUUAGGAGGUUGAAAAUUUGGGUCCUUCUCAGGAUAGAUCAAAAUUGAAUUCCCUCUGGACACAGGGCUGAGCCCAGCACGGACGAAUUUUCUUCAACAAGUGGUGCUGAGAGUGGCAGGUUAGGUGGAAGACAGAGAGGAAAUAUCCUAGAACUCCUGCCUGAAGGUGUCCCCUACCCCCACCCCCUCACCGCCUCCACCCUAUAACCAACAACACUUCAUUUCCAACAAAAUAUGAACCGAGAAAGAGUGUUGGACACAUACAGUAAUGAAAAUCCAUGAUUCAACUGUGCAUUCAUAAUUAUUUCAUAAAUAAAUGGCUUCUGGAGAGGCGCAUCUGUCUCUCGCCACCACGUGCGUGCCUUUCAUUAAUGUAUCCCGGCCUACGUGGAGCUAGCCCGAGAGCUCCACUCAAGU